rnacentral:rRNA from 1 species
GAUGAACGCUAGCUGCAGGCUUAACACAUGCAAGUCGAGGGGUAACAAGAGGAAAGCUUGCUUUUCUUGUUGACGACCGGCGCACGGGUGAGUAACGCGUAUCCAACCUGCCUAUAACUAGGGAAUAACCUUGCGAAAGUAAGACUAAUACCCUAUGAUUUCCUUUGAUGACAUCAGAUUAGGAAUAAAGAUUUAUCGGUUAUAGAUGGGGAUGCGUCUGAUUAGCUUGUUGGCGGGGUAACGGCCCACCAAGGCAACGAUCAGUAGGGGUUCUGAGAGGAAGGUCCCCCACAUUGGAACUGAGACACGGUCCAAACUCCUACGGGAGGCAGCAGUGAGGAAUAUUGGUCAAUGGGCGGAAGCCUGAACCAGCCAAGUAGCGUGCAGGAUGACGGCCCUAUGGGUUGUAAACUGCUUUUAUACAGGAAUAAAGUUAGCCACGUGUGGUUAUUUGUAGGUACUGUAUGAAUAAGGACCGGCUAACUCCGUGCCAGCCGCCGCGGUAA